rnacentral:rRNA from 1 species
UACGGAGGGGGCAAGCGUUGUUCGGAAUUACUGGGCGUAAAGCGCGCGUAGGCGGGUCUUUAAGUCAGAGGUGAAAUCCUGGAGCUCAACUCCAGAACUGCCUUUGAUACUGGAGAUCUUGAGUCCGGAAGAGGUUAGUGGAAUCCCCAGUGUAGAGGUGAAAUUCGUAGAUAUUGGGAAGAACACCAGUGGCGAAGGCGGCUAACUGGUCCGGUACUGACGCUGAGGUGCGAAAGCGUGGGGAGCAAACAGGAUUAGAUACCCCCGUAGUCC